rnacentral:rRNA from 1 species
GACGAACGCUGGCGGCGUGCCUAAUACAUGCAAGUCGAACGCAUUUUCUUUCACCGUAGCUUGCUACACCGAAAGAAAAUGAGUGGCGAACGGGUGAGUAACACGUGGGUAACCUGCCCAUCAGCGGGGGAUAACACUUGGAAACAGGUGCUAAUACCGCAUAAUUCCAUUUACCGCAUGGUAGAUGGGUGAAAGGCGCUUUUGCGUCACUGAUGGAUGGACCCGCGGUGCAUUAGCUAGUUGGUGGGGUAACGGCCUACCAAGGCUGCGAUGCAUAGCCGACCUGAGAGGGUGAUCGGCCACACUGGGACUGAGACACGGCCCAGACUCCUACGGGAGGCAGCAGUAGGGAAUCUUCGGCAAUGGACGCAAGUCUGACCGAGCAACGCCGCGUGAGUGAAGAAGGUUUUCGGAUCGUAAAACUCUGUUGUUAGAGAAGAACAAGGAUGAGAGUGGAAAGUUCAUCCCUUGACGGUAUCUGACCAGAAAGCCACGGCUAACUACGUG